UUCUUCUUCUUCUUCGUUAAUUCUGCUGGAAGUUGAAAUCGGUGUUUCGAUGCAUCGGAAAUAAAAUUGGAGUUUGAGUCAGGAGGAAUAACCCCUAAUUUCGUGAUUCCAAUCUGGAAGUAGGUGAUUCGGAAUUCCGAUUGCGUCUGGGACGAGAUUCCUUCACUGCCCUCCCCCGCACACACUCUCCUCAUUCAAAGUUCAAGACUGUCACUUCGUCUCUUCACUCCCUCUUCCACUCCUCCGAAACUCCUCGUUGAGGUCGCUAGUUAGCAGAAGCAGAAGCGUGGUGGUUCAUUCAAUUGAAUCUUCUAGGGAUUUUUCUGGGUUUCUUUGUGCUUGAGGAUUGGUGUCAAGCAAGGAGGUUGCUUGGGGAUGUUUUACAGCAUGGACUUUGAGAUGGAUGUCUGGUAUGAGUUUCCACCAUUAAGUACCAAAGCUUCGCUAUAGGUUAGAUUCUUCCCUUCGUUUGGUUGGUGUUAUCAAAGCAGUAAACUUCACUGUAUUAAACUGUGUAUCAAGUAAGGAGAUUGCUUUUACUUGUUUCUGUCUUAGUCGUGAGAUGGAUGAAAUGAAAUGAAUUGAUUAUUGCUUCUGUUACUCUUUGAAAUGCAUUUAGCUCCUGUUCAUCUAUACA